GAGGAGAGCACGUUCCGUGACGCCUCCGAGCGCGAGGUGGCAGCAGCGCCGGGGGAGGCGCAGGCCGACUGCCGGGCGGGGCGGGGCGGGAAUAGCAGGAGGAGUCGCGCGCGCCGGGCCUGCUGGGGUCACGUGGCCGGGACGGCCCCCGUCUGGACGCCACCCGACUGUUCUCGGGACGACCCCCACCUCCCCUAGGGCCUCCCCACAAUCUCUGAAGGAUGCAAGUCAUGUGCCAGGAAUGGAGCCGGAUCGAGCGGCUUUCACUGCCCCCUGAGACGCGGAGCUGCGGGCAAAAACUACAGUUCCCAGCAUGCCAGCCCUAGGAUCCAGUCUUUUGCUCCAUUUGCAGGAUCACAGAAGCUCUGCUGGACUUUCCUGGCACCAACAGCCCACCUGCCAGGGAUGCUUGGCUCCAUGCUGUCUUCAUACAACCCUCAUCCCAGAGCUUCUUCUCAAAGUCUACUACUGGGUCUGCCCCCAAGUACAGCCCUACCCAUGAGCCUCUAAUUUCCACCUCUGUGCUGGCUACCAGUCAGGAGCAAGGUAAUAAUACUGGUAACAUAAAAUAAUAAUAGUAUUUAUCCUUUAUGGCAUAUGUCCUAUGUCAUUCUAGAUGCCUGACAGAUAUGCUCUCUAAUCCUUACAUAACCUAGAAGUACUGCUAUUCCCAGGUGUGUCUCUGUUUUCAUCAGGCACCAUUCUUGAUGUAGAUCUCAAGCUUUGUUCAAAUCCUCCAGAACAACCCACCAGCACCAGAAGUAUUUGUAAGAAACUGUGGAAUUUACUGAAGACUUCCCAGAGUGGAGCAGAGGUUUACACUGCAUAUCCAAUAAAAGUUAAAAUCCUCAA